UACGAAGGGUGCAAGCGUUACUCGGAAUUACUGGGCGUAAAGCGCGUGUAGGCGGAGAUGCCAGUCCGGCCUGAAAGCCCUCGGCUCAACCGAGGAUCCGGGUCGGAAACUGCAUUUCUUGAGGGCGGAAGAGGCGUGUGGAAUUCCUGGUGUAGCGGUGAAAUGCGUAGAGAUCAGGAGGAACACCCAUGGCGAAGGCAGCACGCUGGUCCGACCCUGACGCUGAGGCACGAAGGCCAGGGGAGCAAACGGG
rnacentral:rRNA from 1 species